AGUCGAACGGUGAAGCUCCAGCUUGCUGGAGUGGAUCAGUGGCGAACGGGUGAGUAACACGUGAGCAACCUGCCCCGGACUCUGGGAUAACAGUUGGAAACAGCUGCUAAUACCGGAUACGCACCAUACAGGCAUCUGUUGUGGUGGGAAAGAUUUUUUGGUUCGGGAUGGGCUCGCGGCCUAUCAGCUUGUUGGUGAGGUAAUGGCUCACCAAGGCGUCGACGGGUAGCCGGCCUGAGAGGGUGACCGGCCACACUGGGACUGAGACACGGCCCAGACUCCUACGGGAGGCAGCAGUGGGGAAUAUUGCACAAUGGGCGGAAGCCUGAUGCAGCAACGCCGCGUGAGGGAUGACGGCCUUCGGGUUGUAAACCUCUUUUAGCAGGGAAGAAGCGAGAGUGACGGUACCUGCAGAAAAAGCGCCGGCUAACUACGUGCCAGCAGCCGCGGUAAUACGUAGGGCGCAAGCGUUAUCCGGAAUUAUUGGGCGUAAAGAGCUCGUAGGCGGUCUGUCGCGUCUGCUGUGAAAACCCGAGGCUCAACCUCGGGCCUGCAGUGGGUACGGGCAGACUAGAGUGCGGUAGGGGAGAUUGGAAUUCCUGGUGUAGCGGUGGAAUGCGCAGAUAUCAGGAGGAACACCGAUGGCGAAGGCAGAUCUCUGGGCCGUAACUGACGCUGAGGAGCGAAAGGGUGGGGAGCAAACAGGCUUAGAUACCCUGGUAGUCCACCCCGUAAACGUUGGGAACUAGUUGUGGGGACCUUUCCACGGUCUCCGUGACGCAGCUAACGCAUUAAGUUCCCCGCCUGGGGAGUACGGCCGCAAGGCUAAACUCAAGA
rnacentral:rRNA from 1 species